rnacentral:lncRNA from 1 species
GAUGAUAAUAAUAAACUGGAAUUUAGAAUUCGACAACAGUAAUGGAAAUUGCAAUUGAAAUAUGAGUAAUUGUUCUUAAAAGAAACUAAAAUACGUAAACGACAAUAGUUGUUCUUCAACUGAGUUCUUCAGGUCUAUUUAUAGGGAAAAAUCUGCUCUGAAGUGCUUCUGAUCAUGUCUCAAGUAGUGGAGAAAAUGAAGAAAGUGGGCAAACUGCUUCUGAAACGUGGGAAAAGAAUAGGUCAGGCUUUUACUUCCCACUGACUUCUGACUUUUUAACCUUCUUUUCCAUUUUUACCCUUUCUUUCCUUUUUUCGCCGAAUUUCAUCAUUUUGACGCGCGGAGACCUUUAACCGAUAAAUACCUGAAAUAGACACACACUACC